rnacentral:rRNA from 1 species
AAAGACUUAGUCCUAACCUUACCGUUGAUUGUUGCUAGAUAUAUACAUGCAAGUAUCUGCGCUCCAGUGUAAAUGCCCUCCACCUACGACAUCGAGACAGAGGAGCGGACAUCAGGCACACCUACUAACGGUAGCCCAAAACGUCUUGCUCAGCCACACCCCCACGGGUACUCAGCAGUAAUUAACAUUAAGCAAUAAGUGAAAACUUGACUUAGUCAUAGCAAUUCCAAGGGUUGGUAAAUCUUGUGCCAGCCACCGCGGUCACACAAGAGACCCAAAUUAACUGUAACACGGCGUAAAGAGUGGCUCAAUGCUAUCCUACCAACUAAGAUCAAAAUGCAACUGAGCUGUCAUAAGCCCAAGCUGCACAUAAAAUCACUCUGAAAAUAAUCUUAGCGACCCCCGACCGAUAAUACCCACGAAAGCUAAGACACAAACUGGGAUUAAGAUACCCCACUAUGCUUAGCCCUAAAUCUUGAUGCUUAUACAACUAAAGUAUCCGCCCGAGAACUACGAGCACAAACGCUUAAAACUCUAAGGACUUGGCGGUACCCCAAACCCACCUAGAGGAGCCUGUUCUGUAAUCGAUAACCCACGAUACACCCAACCGCUCCUUGCUAAAACAGCCUACAUACCGCCGUCGUCAGCUUACCUCCUCUGAGAGUGCAACAGUAAGCAUAACAGCCUCAACCACGCUAGCAAGACAGGUCAAGGUAUAGCCCAUGGAGCGGAAGAAAUGGGCUACAUUUUCUAAAUUAGAAAACUACGGAAAGGGGUGUGAAACCACCCCUAGAAGGCGGAUUUAGUAGUAAAGUGGGACAAUAAAGCCCACUUUAAACCGGCCCUGGGGUACGUACAUACCGCCCGUCACCCUCUUCACAAGCUACCAAAUUCCAUAACUAAUACUGCACCAAGCUGAAGACGAGGUAAGUCGUAACAAGGUAAGUGUACCGGAAGGUGCACUUAGCACAC